GACGAACGCUGGCGGCGUGCCUAAUACAUGCAAGUCGAACGCAUUUUCUUUCACCGUAGCUUGCUACACCGAAAGAAAAUGAGUGGCGAACGGGUGAGUAACACGUGGGUAACCUGCCCAUCAGCGGGGGAUAACACUUGGAAACAGGUGCUAAUACCGCAUAAUUCCAUUUACCGCAUGGUAAAUGGAUGAAAGGCGCUUUUGCGUCACUGAUGGAUGGACCCGCGGUGCAUUAGCUAGUUGGUGGGGUAACGGCCUACCAAGGCUGCGAUGCAUAGCCGACCUGAGAGGGUGAUCGGCCACACUGGGACUGAGACACGGCCCAGACUCCUACGGGAGGCAGCAGUAGGGAAUCUUCGGCAAUGGACGCAAGUCUGACCGAGCAACGCCGCGUGAUUGAAGAAGGGUUUCGGAUCGUAAAACUCUGUUGUUAGAGAAGAACAAGGAUGAGAGUGGAAAGUUCAUCCCUUGACGGUAUCUAACCAGAAAGCCACGGCUAACUACGUG
rnacentral:rRNA from 1 species